rnacentral:tRNA from 1 species
GCCUUCGUGGUGUAGUGGUCAGCACCCUAUUCUGUCGCAUAUUCGAGAGGUCCGUGGUUCGAGUCCCGGCUAGGGCA